rnacentral:rRNA from 1 species
GACGAACGCUGGCGGCGUGCCUAACACAUGCAAGUCGAGCGGAGAUAAGCGGAUGGUAACUGAAGUUUGUCUUAGCGGCGGACGGGUGAGUAACACGUGGGCAACCUGCCUUGGAGUGGGGGAUAACACCGGGAAAUCGGUGCUAAUACCGCAUAACAUACACAUACUGCAUGGUGAGUGUAUCAAAGGAGCAAUCCGCUUUAAAGAUGGGCCCGCGGCUGAUUAGCUAGUUGGUAAGGUAACGGCUUACCAAGGCGACGAUCAGUAGCCGACCUGAGAGGGUGAUCGGCCACACUGGAACUGAGAGACGGUCCAGACUCCUACGGGAGGCAGCAGUGGGGAAUAUUGGGCAAUGGGGGAAACCCUGACCCAGCAACGCCGCGUGAGGGAAGAAGGUUUUCGGAUUGUAAACCUCUGUCCUUGGUGAAGAAAGAGAUGACGGUAGCCAAAGGAGGAAGCCCCGGUAACUACGUG